rfam:Daphnia pulex DAPPTscaffold_96_Cont4297, whole genome shotgun sequence.
GCCUCUGUGGCGCAAUUGGCUAGCGCGUUCGGCUGUUAACCGGAAGGCUGGUGGUUCGAGCCCACCCAGGGGCG